CGGCGUGCUUAACACAUGCAAGUCGAACGAUGCACUUUAUUUGAUUUCCUUCGGGAUUGAUUAUUUUGUGACUGAGUGGCGGACGGGUGAGUAACGCGUGGGUAACCUGCCUUGUACAGGGGGAUAACAGUUGGAAACGGCUGCUAAUACCGCAUAAGCGCACAGCAUCGCAUGAUGCAGUGUGAAAAACUCCGGUGGUAUAAGAUGGACCCGCGUUGGAUUAGCUAGUUGGUGAGGUAAUGGCCUACCAAGGCGACGAUCCAUAGCCGACCUGAGAGGGUGACCGGCCACAUUGGGACUGAGACACGGCCCAAACUCCUACGGGAGGCAGCAGUGGGGAAUAUUGCACAAUGGGCGAAAGCCUGAUGCAGCGACGCCGCGUGAGCGAAGAAGUAUUUCGGUAUGUAAAGCUCUAUCAGCAGGGAAGAUAAUGACGGUACCUGACUAAGAAGCACCGGCUAAAUACGUGCCAGCAGCCGCGGUAAUACGUAUGGUGCAAGCGUUAUCCGGAUUUACUGGGUGUAAAGGGAGCGCAGGCGGUGCGGCAAGUCUGAUGUGAAAGCCCGGGGCUCAACCCCGGUACUGCAUUGGAAACUGUCGUACUAGAGUGUCGGAGGGGUAAGCGGAAUUCCUAGUGUAGCGGUGAAAUGCGUAGAUAUUAGGAGGAACACCAGUGGCGAAGGCGGCCUACUGGGCACCAACUGACGCUGAGGCUCGAAAGUGUGGGUAGCAAACAGGAUUAGAUACCCUGGUAGUCCACACCGUAAACGAUGAUUACUAGGUGUUGGAGGAUUGACCCCUUCAGUGCCGCAGUUAACACAAUAAGUAAUCCACCUGGGGAGUACGACCGCAAGGUUGAAACUCAAAGGAAUUGACGGGGGCCCGCACAAGCAGUGGAGUAUGUGGUUUAAUUCGACGCAACGCGAAGAACCUUACCAAGUCUUGACAUCCCUUGACGAACAUAGAAAUAUGUUUUCUCUUCGGAGCAAGGAGACAGGUGGUGCAUGGUUGUCGUCAGCUCGUGUCGUGAGAUGUUGGGUUAAGUCCCGCAACGAGCGCAACCCUUAUGGUCAGUUACUACGCAAGAGGACUCUGGCCAGACUGCCGUUGACAAAACGGAGGAAGGUGGGGAUGACGUCAAAUCAUCAUGCCCUUUAUGACUUGGGCUACACACGUACUACAAUGGCGUUAAACAAAGAGAAGCAAGACCGCGAGGUGGAGCAAAACUCAGAAACAACGUCCCAGUUCGGACUGCAGGCUGCAACUCGCCUGCACGAAGUCGGAAUUGCUAGUAAUCGUGGAUCAGCAUGCCACGGUGAAUACGUUCCCGGGCCUUG
rnacentral:rRNA from 1 species